ensembl:snRNA U1 U1 spliceosomal RNA
AUACUAACCUGUUAGGGGUGACUCUAUGAUUACAAAGUUGGUUUGCCCAAGGUGAAGCUCACCUUUGUUCACCUUUAUGAAUUUCCUAUAUGUGAAAAUAUAAACUGCACAAUUUUUGAUUGGGAAGAACUGCAUUCGUGUUCCCCGUUA